rnacentral:rRNA from 1 species
UACGAGGGGGGCAAGCGUUGUUCGGAAUUAUUGGGUGUCGUAAAGGGUGCGUGAGGCAGUUUUGUAAGUCUUGUGUGAAAUCUUCAGGCUCAACUUGAAGACUGACACGAGAAACUGGCAGGGCUUGAGUGUGGGAGAGGUGAGUGGAAUUCCUGGUGUAGCGGUGAAAUGCGCAGAUAUCAGGAGGAACACCCGUCGGCGAAAGCGGCUCUCUGGGACGGUCACUGACGCUGAGACGCGAAAGCGUGGGGAGCAAACAGG